UUUUGCAGAAAAAAAUAAAAAAUACAUAAAAAUUUCUCAUCUACUUGUUAUACCUUCUUCACCUACUAAACCACUCUAACUUAUCCAAAUUUUUAAGUUUUUCAUAAUUUUUCUGCUAUCCGAAGUGCCAAAACAUCAUAUGGGGCGACCGUCCAGCCUUGACUUUUGUUAGGACAACUGGUUUAAAAACACUUUAAAUCAACUUAAAUAUAUCCCUUUUCCUAGUUGGCAUAAUUUCAAACAUGUUUUACAUCCAUUGACAAAACUAUAAAGCAUUUGCACAUAUAUUUCUAUCAUGAUAUACAAACAAAUGUUGUCCGAAUUAUGUUGAUUCUAUCCAUAUCAUCCGGGGCGACCAUCAAAAAACCACUAUUUUGGGACCUUUAUUUUGAACAACAUCUCAAGGAUGGGAUAUUGCAUCAGCCAGACACAAGUGAAGACCCCCUGGAAACAACUGUAAGAUGGCACGAUUAACAAGCAAAGAGAAGACUGCUCGUUAUAGACAGAAAGUCAACUCCGACCCUGCAGCAAGAGCAGAGUAUCUUGCAAGGAAAAGAGAGAGGUAAAGAAAACCCCAGAUGGGAUUGGUGGGGCAAUAAAAAGAGAAGCAGAUCGCUUUGUCCAACGAGGUGGUGAACUUCAGACACCACAGCAACUCUAUGAGAUGCUGAACACAAGAUUAGGCUCAAGCAUCACACACUAUUGGGUAAACAGAGAAAGCAUUGAAAAGUGUGAUGAGCUAAUUCCUGACAAUUUGGAGGCUGUGAAGGGCACCUUUAAAAUACACCAGGUUUGGUCUUCCCAGCCUUCGCAGAUCACUCACAGGACUGUUUCAUGCUUCUGUAGGAAAACAGAGAAGAGUCCAUGCCCUUGUUACAAGCCCGUAACAGUAGACCUGAGAGUGAGACGCACUGUGUGCAACACUAAGAAUCCCCCAAGCUCUCCUCCUCAACCACCUAGGGAACAAGAAAACCUAGAUCUUUGUGGCAAGUUUGUUGUUGUCAUUUAUGAUGAAAAGCCUUAUGUUGGUCAAGUGCUUGCGGUUGAGGGAGAAGAAGUGCAGGUCAAUUGUAUGCUACAAUCUGGUGACAAAAACCUGUUCGUGUGGCCACAAACUGUAGAUUCAAUUUUCUACGACAGAAAAGAUGUGCAUGCUGUGAUCUCUGAGCCUGAGCCAGCAACAUCACGCUUCUCAAAGCUGACUCUCCAAGAUUGGGUGAAGUUCAGUAAUACCUCAGCUUAGAGAAAUGCAAGUUGUGUUCAUCACUGCCUUAUGUGGCUAAAUGGGUCCAGAAAAAGAAAUUAUUUGUGAUAUUUGAAUGUUGAAAGGUUAAUUGAGACGCAAGUAGUGUUAGUCCCUGUCCAAUGAAUCAAAAAGGUUCCAAAAAAGAGAUUCUUUACUUUACUACUUCUUUACAAGUUCUUGAGUUCUUGAAGCAUUUAAUGUGUGUUGCAAUAAAAUUGUUUAAAUGUUAAUGUCCUUCUGAUUUGUUAUAUUUAAAUGUUGAAAUGUUAUUUCAAUAAAAAGAGUUAAAUUUUAUUUCGUCUUGAACUCUUUUGUGUACAUUUUAACUGAAAUUUUUAUACCUGUGGUUUUCUUAUCAUUUGGGGCGACCCCAUGUCAUGUGGGGUAACCAACAAAUGGCAAUAAUUACACUAAAUUCAUAACCAAAUAUCCAUCAGUUUAGCCUCAAAUAUUAAUCAGUGUUAUGCUAUUGCUGAAUGUGUAAUAUCUGUAUAAAUGCUAAUUCAGUUUUUUUGCUUUUGAAGUAAAAAUCAGUAUUGUAACUGGAUUACGAGGGAGACUCUGAUAUUAUAGAAUAAACUUGUAAAAUAAUGGUAUUCAUAAAAUGAAAGGGCACUAAAGUUUGUCUUUCUUCAUCAGUUUAU